UAGCUGGUACCUGGAUUUGCUUUCCUUUAUCCGUUGCCAUCCAUGGCAGGCCGAGCCUGCGGGGGCUACUUUGCCCACAGCCCGAGGAAUAUGGAGCCCGCAAUGCUUGCCGGCCCAAAACUGGCAGAGCUGUUCGAGCCAAGGACGCAGGGUUGAAUUAUGUCACUUUCCCUGCCAUCGUUUUAGGAGCGGCUCCGGGCAGUUACCUGGAAUGCUCAGAAGCACGCAGGAUCAAGGUGAAAAGGAGAACCCCAUGCGGGAACUUCGCAUCCGCAAACUCUGUCUCAACAUCUGUGUUGGAGAGAGUGGAGACAGACUGACCCGAGCAGCCAAGGUGUUGGAGCAGCUCACAGGGCAGACCCCUGUGUUUUCCAAAG
rnacentral:sRNA from 1 species